CCUACGGGAGGCAGCAGUGGGGAAUAUUGGGCAAUGGACUCACGUCUGACCCAGCAACGCCGCGUGAAGGAAGAAGGCCUUCUGGUUGUAAACUUCUUUUUAUGGGGAAGAGCAGCAGACUGUACCCCUUGAAUCUGCCACGGCUAACUACGUGCCAGCAGCCGCGGUAAUACGUAGGUGGCAAGCGUGUUCCGGAUUUACUGGGUGUAAAGGGCGUGCAGCCGGAGAGACAAGUCAGAUGUGAAAUCCACGGGCUCAACCCGUGAACUGCAGUUGAAACCGGUUCCCUUGAGUGUCGGAGAGGUAAUCGGAAUUCCUUGUGUAGCGGUGAAAUGCGUAGAUAUAAGGAAGAACACCAGUGGCGAAGGCGGAUUACUGGACGAUAACUGACGGUGAGGCGCGAAAGCGUGGGGAGCAAACAGGAUUAGAUACCCCAGUAGUC
rnacentral:rRNA from 1 species